rnacentral:rRNA from 1 species
UGGUAAUGCCGGAUGCUCCGGUUGGAUGCAUGUCCUUCCGGGAAAGAUUCUAUCGGUAUGGGAUGGGGUCGCGUCCUAUCAGCUUGAUGGCGGGGUAACGGCCCACCAUGGCUUCGACGGGUAGCCGGCCUGAGAGGGCGACCGGCCACAUUGGGACUGAGAUACGGCCCAGACUCCUACGGGAGGCAGCAGUGGGGAAUAUUGCACAAUGGGCGCAAGCCUGAUGCAGCGACGCCGCGUGCGGGAUGGAGGCCUUCGGGUUGUAAACCGCUUUUGAUCGGGAGCAAGCCCUUCGGGGUGAGUGUACCUUUCGAAUAAGCACCGGCUAACUACGUGCCAGCAGCCGCGGUAAUACGUAGGGUGCAAGCGUUAUCCGGAAUUAUUGGGCGUAAAGGGCUCGUAGGCGGUUCGUCGCGUCCGGUGUGAAAGCCCAUCGCUUAACGGUGGGUCUGCGCCGGGUACGGGCGGGCUGGAGUGCGGUAGGGGAGACUGGA